UCUCCGUAGGUGAACCUGCGGAGGGAUCAUUACAGAGUUCUCGCCCUCGCGGGUAGAUCUCCCACCCACUGAUAUCGUUACUGUGUUGCUUUGGCGGGCCGCCGGGCCCCGCUCGGCCGCCGGCUCCGGCUGGCGCGCGCCCGCCAGAGGCCCAGCAAACUCUGAAUGUUAGUGUCGUCUGAGUACUAUAUAAUAGUUAAAACUUUCAACAACGGAUCUCUUGGUUCUG
rnacentral:misc_RNA from 1 species